rnacentral:rRNA from 1 species
AAUGUGAAUUGCAGAAUUCAGUGAAUCAUCGAAUCUUUGAACGCACAUUGCGCCCUCUGGUAUUCCGGAGGGCAUGCCCGUUCGAGCGUCAUUACACCACUCAAGCUUGGCUUGGUAUUGGGCGUCGCGUUUGCCGCGUGCCUUGAAGUCC